rnacentral:lncRNA from 1 species
AUUAAUCAGUGGUGGCAGUUUUUGCUACUGAGUUGGUAUUUCUUUCCCCCAAAACAUCUGCAGUGCUCUGUGGAAGAAUGAAUGCUAUAGAAGCAUCUCCUGCUUCAAACUCUUUCCAUUAGAAAUUGAGCUUACCUGCCAUUUCAAAGGUUAGGUUCCUAAGUUGUUUGAGUGGACAGUUGUUGCUUUGAUGACAAAAUAAAACAGAAAAAUGUCAGACAGAAUUGCCACAGGUAAAAGUAUAACAGAAGGAGAAGUUUAUGCAUAAUUCUUUUUUAUCGUAAACUCUCUACUCUUUGUCCCAAAGGAGUUAUCAAACAAGACCAAACCUACUGUCUAUUUGGUGAGAUGGCGCCAUGGCUUAGUAUUUUGCUCCACGUGGCCCUUUGCUCAUAAGCAGAAGAAACCAGUGGCAGAUCCACUCAGAGAAGUGAGGGGUCUUCAGAUAGGAAUAAAUGCAGGGUGGAAAAUAAGUAAAUAUAGUAUGUGUAUUGCAUGUGAUACAGUAAAAGUUGUAAAAAUACUUUUCACUGAUUUCUGGUACUUGGUUUAAUUCAAAUGUUUAAUUUAUUUUCAUUACAUCAACAAAUUCUUUCCAGUCGUGACCAGUGAACAGUUUUCUCUUUGCCAUAAUUAACAGUAAUUAUGGGAAACAAAGCACUAUCUCCUGAUUAAUUGAUAGGACAGCUGACUUGACACCAUGGAUCUCAGUGUGCAGGCAGUAAUGCAGGGAAAAGUAAACUCUGUAGAAAGAUUUGGAGGCCUCUUACCUCUUUAUGAAACAUAUAAGAUGAGCAAAGAGAAAAGAAAUGCAAUUAAACUCUGGGAUCAAUCAAAUGUAUAGGGACUGCUCGGCCUUUAAUUCCUUUGAACAUGUUGCUUAAAGCAUGAAGGUCACCAGGAACAAGACAUGUCAUCAUCUAGGAUGAAAAAUUCUUUGGAAGCAAAAAACUCUCAUAUUAAGGAGAAACUUAUGAGAGAUAUUUAUAACUUAAGGAGAUGAUAGAUCCUUUGGGCAAACUCACUGUUAUAGUUAUCAAUCUCCCAGGCAGGGAAAAGGAUUAUCCAUAUAGAUUUGCACUUUAUAUCCUCUGGUAUUGAUGUCUUUAGGAACAGCUUAAAGAACUGAACAGUUUACAUGUCAAUAAGUAUCUCCAUAUUUCAAUAAAUUUUUUAAUGUGGUUUACAUAAGCAUGAAAGUAUUUAUUGCCAGGAAAACGUUAGGUGAACUCAUGGAUGCUAGCUAUUGUGACAAAUUUGUAAAAUAUGUUCACUGGAAGUCUACAUCUCUGAAUGACUAAGAAGACUCAUAAGAGAAACUUUCUUUUAAGAGAAGAACCAAGCAGAAAAGCUUGGCUCAGAAAUAGCAUGCUAGUCAUUAGAGGACAUAUAUGCCUAUUGGAUUUGAACUGAGGUUCCCAGUCAAGCCUAAGGUAGAAAGAGAGCACUGAGAAAACAUCUGAAAGAGUUAUUUUGUGGCCUUAUAUCAGUCAACCUCCAAUAAAACAUCACAGCAAAAGAGAUAGUGAAAUUUUCUUGACCUUAGCCACAGAACAUCUACCAUAUUUACCUUAUUUAAGAUGUUAGCGCAUCCCUCUUCUCUACUUAAUUUCUAUCUGUAAAAUGACAAUGAUUGUGCCAGUAUGCAGUGCUAUAAAGGGCAGUGGGUCAUGCAAUGCCACUUGGUAUAUAAUAGAAGGACUAGAAUACAUAUUACAGAUUACCUACCAAUAAACACAGCAGGAAGUUAAGAAAAGAAGGAGAGGAAGGAAAAUAGUGACUGGAAUGAACAACUUUUAUUUUCCUCUCUUCCUUUCUUACUUUUUAAAUUAUUAAUAUUAUUUAUAACAAUUAAGCAAUAGACACCAAUUCUAUUUACUUGCAGUUCAAUGCUUUUGAGAUACUGUGUGUUAGCUGCUUUAGCACCUCUCUCACUCUGUUACAUUGGUGAAUGGCAGAAACAGUUCUGUUGGUGAAAUCAGCUAUCUGACAACCAGAGCAUAUGAAUCCAAGGAGAUUAUUCAUCUUCGUGUUAGAUAAGAUGCUCAAAACCAUAUGGUCCAUGGAUUUCAGAGGAUGAUCAGUUGCCAAAUGAUGAUAUAACAGAAUCCUACCACUGGAAGGAGGUCAUUUAUACCUUGAGCGGAUUUGUAGAUGAAGUACUACUGAGACCAUAGAAAAGGAAGACAGCUUAACAAAAUCGGGAAGAGCACAAGGACUUCAAGCAAAGACUGGUACAAGAAUUAUUCUUUGACUAGAGAGGCAGCUACUUAAAUGUCUUAAAAGCAUGGAAAACACUCACUUAAUUUUGUCCUAUUCAUCCUCAAUACUAAAAGAAUAAAACAGUUGUUAAUUUUGUGGGUCAGAAGAUUCUAGAACAUGAAAAGGAUCACAUUUUUAUCUGGGUAAAAAAUAUUUUACCCUCUUUUUUCUGUAUUACAGUUAUUAUAGAUGGAGAAUAUUUCUCUCGCGCGCUCCUUCUCAUACGCACAUGCACACACACAUAUGCAUGCUCAAGAGUAAUGUCAGAGAAGACCAUAUGCAAUAUCAAAUAACACUGUUUAUUGCUUUAAGCCAGUAGUUUCCAGAGAUUUUAUGAUUCAUCCUGGUUUAAUUUUUCUAUAUGCUGCAAGUAUGGAUUAAAUUUCAAUAUUUUGCGUAUGGAUAUUUACUUUUUCCAGUAUCAUUUGUUGAAAUGACUGUCUAUCUCCAUUAAAUUUAUUUAUGUAUAUUUUUUAAAAUCAGUUGUAUAUACAUGCAUAGGUCAAUGUCUAAUGUUUCUAUUUUGUUCCAUUGAUCUAUUUGUCUAUCUUAAUACUAUUACCACAAUAUCUUAAUUUCUUGAAAUUAGGUGUAGUUAUAUCUCCAACAUUGUUCUUCUAUUUCAACAUUGUUUUGGAUCCCCUAAAUCCUUGACAUUUCCAUAUGAAUUUUGGAAUCAGGUUAUCAUAAUUUGGACAAAAAAAUGCUAAAAAUUUCAGUGGAAAUUUGCAGAAUCUAUAGGUAAAUUUGAAAUGGUUAAUUUUUAACAAUAUUGAAAUUUCUGACUCAUGAAGGUCAUUUCAUUUAUUUAGAUUUUUAAUUUACCCAAGC